rnacentral:miRNA from 1 species
UAUGAACCGGGAUGUUACUU